UUUCCGUAGGUGGACCUGCGGAAGGAUCAUUACUGGGUCACCGAGCGCCUCGGCGCUCACCCCCACCCUUCGCUUCCCGCCCCACGAUCGGCGUCAGGCGGGCCCCCCUUCGGGGAGGCCCUCCGGCCGAGACGCAAACUCUAGCAACCCUUUGCAGCCUGAAGUAAAAAACAAAUAGUUAAAACUUUCAACAACGGAUCUCUUGGUUCUG
rnacentral:misc_RNA from 1 species